rnacentral:rRNA from 1 species
ACCUUCGGGGGAAUGAGAAAAGGUAGCUUUGGCCUCUGACCGAGGAUGAGCCCGCGGUGGAUUAGCUUGUUGGCGGGGUAACGGCCCGCCAAGGCGACGAUCCAUAGCUGGUCUGAGAGGACGAUCAGCCACACUGGGACUGAGACACGGCCCAGACUCCUACGGGAGGCAGCAGUGGGGAAUCUUGCGCAAUGGGCGAAAGCCUGACGCAGCGACGCCGCGUGGGGGAAGAAGGCCUUAGGGUUGUAAACCUCUUUCAGGUGGGACGAAGCCACUCGGGUUAAUAGCCCAGAGGGUGACGGUACCGCCAGAAGAAGCCCCGGCUAACUACGUGCCAGCAGCCGCGGUAAUACGUAGGGGGCAAGCGUUGUCCGGAUUUAUUGGGCGUAAAGAGCGUGUAGGCGGCCAGGUAGGUCGGUUGUGAAAACUGGAGGCUCAACCUUCAGACGUCGACCGAAACCAUCUGGCUAGAGUCCGGAAGAGGAGAGUGGAAUUCCUGGUGUAGCGGUGGAAUGCGCAGAUAUCAGGAAGAACACCCGUGGCGGAGGCGGCUCUCUGGGACGGUACUGACGCUGAGACGCGAAAGCGUGGGGAGCGAACAGGAUUAGAUACCCUGGUAGUCCACGCCGUAAACGAUGGGUGCUAGGUGUGGGGGGUGUCGACUCCCCCCGUGCCGAAGCUAACGCAUUAAGCACCCCGCCUGGGGAGUACGGCCGCAAGGCUAAAACUCAAAGGAAUUGACGGAAUCGAAUU